rnacentral:rRNA from 1 species
AUGCCCUACGGGGGGCAGCAGUGAGGAAUAUUGGUCAAUGGCCGCAGGGCUGAACCAGCCAAGUCGCGUGAGGGAUGACGGUCCUAUGGAUUGUAAACCUCUUUUGUCAGGGAGCAAAGGGCGCCACGUGUGGCGCUUUGCGAGGACCUGAAGAAAAAGCAUCGGGUAACUCCGGGCCAGCAGCCGCGGUAAUACGGAGGAUGCGAGCGCUAUCCGGAUUUAGUGGGUUU